rnacentral:rRNA from 1 species
UGGGGAAUAUUGCACAAUGGGCGCAAGCCUGAUGCAGCCAUGCCGCGGGUGUGAAGAAGGCCUUCGGGUUGUAAAGCACUUUCAGCGGGGAGGAAGGCGAUAAGGUUAAUAACCUUGUCGAUUGACGUUACCCGCAGAAGAAGCACCGGCUAACUCCGUGCCAGCAGCCGCGGUAAUACGGAGGGUGCAAGCGUUAAUCGGAAUUACUGGGCGUAAAGCGCACGCAGGCGGUCUGUCAAGUCGGAUGUGAAAUCCCCGGGCUCAACCUGGGAACUGCAUCUGAUACUGGCAAGCUUGAGUCUCGUAGAGGGGGGUAGAAUUCCAGGUGUAGCGGUGAAAUGCGUAGAGAUCUGGAGGAAUACCGGUGGCGAAGGCGGCCCCCUGGACGAAGACUGACGCUCAGGUGCGAAAGCGUGGGGAGCAAACAGG